rnacentral:rRNA from 1 species
GGGGCGGGCGGCGUGCUAUACAUGCAAGUCGAGCGGACAGAUGGGAGCUUGCUCCCUGAUGUUAGCGGCGGACGGGUGAGUAACACGUGGGUAACCUGCCUGUAAGACUGGGAUAACUCCGGGAAACCGGGGCUAAUACCGGAUGGUUGUUUGAACCGCAUGGUUCAGACAUAAAAGGUGGCUUCGGCUACCACUUACAGAUGGACCCGCGGCGCAUUAGCUAGUUGGUGAGGUAACGGCUCACCAAGGCGACGAUGCGUAGCCGACCUGAGAGGGUGAUCGGCCACACUGGGACUGAGACACGGCCCAGACUCCUACGGGAGGCAGCAGUAGGGAAUCUUCCGCAAUGGACGAAAGUCUGACGGAGCAACGCCGCGUGAGUGAUGAAGGUUUUCGGAUCGUAAAGCUCUGUUGUUAGGGAAGAACAAGUGCCGUUCAAAUAGGGCGGCACCUUGACGGUACCUAACCAGAAAGCCACGGCUAACUACGUGCCAGCAGCCGCGGUAAUACGUAGGUGGCAAGCGUUGUCCGGAAUUAUUGGGCGUAAAGGGCUCGCAGGCGGUUUCUUAAGUCUGAUGUGAAAGCCCCCGGCUCAACCGGGGAGGGUCAUUGGAAACUGGGGAACUUGAGUGCAGAAGAGGAGAGUGGAAUUCCACGUGUAGCGGUGAAAUGCGUAGAGAUGUGGAGGAACACCAGUGGCGAAGGCGACUCUCUGGUCUGUAACUGACGCUGAGGAGCGAAAGCGUGGGGAGCGAACAGGAUUAGAUACCCUGGUAGUCCACGCCGUAAACGAUGAGUGCUAAGUGUUAGGGGGUUUCCGCCCCUUAGUGCUGCAGCUAACGCAUUAAGCACUCCGCCUGGGGAGUACGGUCGCAAGACUGAAACUCAAAGGAAUUGACAGGGGCCCGCACAAGCGGUGGAGCAUGUGGUUUAAUUCGAAGCAACGCGAGAACCUUACCAGGUCUUGACAUCCUCUGACAAUCCUAGAGAUAGGACGUCC